rnacentral:rRNA from 1 species
AUACGAAGGGUGCGAGCGUUAAUCGGAAUUACUGGGCGUAAAGCGCGCGUAGGCGGUUGGAUAAGUCGGAUGUGAAAGCCCCGGGCUCAACCUGGGAAUUGCAUUCGAAACUGUCCGGCUAGAGUAUGGUAGAGGGAAGCGGAAUUCCACAUGUAGCGGUGAAAUGCGUAGAUAUGUGGAGGAACACCAGUGGCGAAGGCGGCUUCCUGGACCAAUACUGACGCUGCGGUGCGAAAGCGUGGGGAGCGAACAGGAUUAGAAACCCUGGUAGUCC